rnacentral:rRNA from 1 species
CCUACGGGAGGCAGCAGUGGGGAAUAUUGGGCAAUGGAGGUAACUCUGACCCAGCAACGCCGCGUGAAUGAUGAAGGUCCUCUGAUUGUAAAGUUCUGUGAUUGGGGAUGAACACCAUGAUGGUACCCCACUAGCAAGCCACGGCUAACUACGUGCCAGCAGCCGCGGCAAUACGUAGGGGGCAAGCGUUAUCCGGGAUGACUGGGCGUAAAGGGUGCGUAGGGGGUUUAGUAAGUUGGCGGUGUAAUUCCGGGGCUCAACCUCGGCGCUACCGCCAAAACUAUUCGACUGGAGUGCAGGAGGGGUAAGUGGAAUUCCUAGUGUAGCGGUGGAAUGCGUAGAUAUUAGGAGGAACAUCAGGGGCGAAGGCGACUUACUGGACUGUAACUGACACUGAGGCACGAAAGCGUGGGGAGCAAACAGGAUUAGAUACCCUUGUAGUC